ensembl:lncRNA
AAUAAACCUUGAGAAGAGUCUCCUUCAAUCUGCUGUUAGUAACUAACACACACACUCACUCACACCGAGACUCAAUUACUGCCCAAUUCCUUUCUUUAUCAUCUGUUACCGGCCUCUUUCAAAACGAAAUCGAAAAGAGGCUAGAAGGCUACACGAAGUAUUACUUGAAACAAAAUCCCGUUGGAAAUAAGUAUUAGUGUCGAAACUAAAGGUGUUAGAGCAGUGAUGUCACAGAGCUGAAGACAUUUCCUAUCAGUCCUGAGACAGGGGAAGACAGAUGUGGAGCCCCUCCCUGUCCCUGUGUGGAGUGGCCUCUCUUUCACACUUCCAAUAAAAACCACUGUCACCAGUAACCACCAGCUCCACUUAACAACCAGCUUCACCAGUAACCACCAGCUCCACUUAACAACCAGCUUCACCAGUAACCACCAGCUCCACUUAACAACCAGCUUCACCAGUAACCACCAGUGAUGCUGCUGCUAGGAGGAGACAGACACUUAUUAACAACCAGCUUCACCAGUAACCACCAGUGAUGCUGCUGCUAGGAGGAGACAGACACUUAUUAACAACUAGCUUCACCAGUAACCACCAGUGAUGCU